rnacentral:lncRNA from 1 species
CGUUUACAUCCUAACCUCAUCUCUUUUUCCCUUUCAUUCCCCCGUCCCCAAACUCUGAGAAAACCCACAUAGGCGAAACGGUGGGUAAAAUGAAGCUGCACUCCUCCGUUAUGACCUUAUUAAGAAGCUCGUGGUUACUGUAGUGAUCGUCUGUCGAUUAGUCGAACGGUGGGUAAAUUUUAUAUUUUUUCUCAGUUCCAUGUUUGAAAUGGAAGAUUGAUUUAUAAUUAAUUUUAUUUUUUAUUUUGAAUUCUUUAUUUCUUCCAUACAUAUAUAUUGCAACAUUUAAUUUGAUGAGUUGCUUGGAUUUAUGAGUUAUUUAUGGGAAUCCAUAGGUGUUGAACUUGAGGAUUUAUCAUUUUGAUUUAAUUAGUAAGGAAGGCGAUUUUCCCCCUUUUGGAAGUUUCUGCAUUGUUUCAAUUAGGUCUCCUUCCCUUUUUAACGACAUCUGUCUAAUCUUUUCAGUGUUAUGCGAUUUAAUUGAAUGUUGAUUAUGAUUUACGGAACGAGACUCUUUUUCACUGUAUUUGAGAAAACGGAGCAAUUCUGUAAAUUGGAAAUCAAGUAUAAAAUAUUAGAAUUCUGAAUGUUGUAAUUCCUUGUUUAUAUUAGAAUUUCAUGUCUUACACAGUAGACUCCGAUUUCUCUAUAUUCAUUGAUGUACGUUUUUUGAGCUUGGAUUUAAAGCAGCAGUGGACUACGACUAGACUUUCAGACUUACUAAUUUUUCCAUACUUAUUUGAGCUUCCUCUGUAUCAUACGUUGGUAAAUUUUGUAUUUUAAGUCUAAUUAAUGUUUUUAUGAUCAGGUCAAAGCGAAACAACAAACUUUAUCUUCUUUUGUUGAUGUGUUAGAGAAUUCAGAUAAACCACUAUUGGUUUAUUUCUUUGCUAUACUUGGUAAGGUCGCUUUAAUUUAUAUGUCAAUUCCUAGCCUUUACAAAUGAGAAGCUGUAUUGUGCUUAUUAUCUUAUGGGAUAGGUGAUUGUGUUUCUACCUAUGUUACAUCGUAUGGGAUGGGCUUGUCAACUAAGAAAUUUUUGUCAAAUAUAACAGAAGGAAAAAAUGAAUGGAUUAUGAGUUUUGUAAAUUUGUGGAUUUUACAUUGGUGUGUGGUUGUUGUCUAAUGUAGUGAAACUUGUCUUUCAUUUGUAUGUAGGAUGGCAGGAAAGAAUUUCGGACGUUGUCAUAGCUGUAGAGAGAAAAGACACUUCUUCACAGAUUACCCAAGAAACGACAAUGCCUGUGGUGUAAAAUUGGAUAUGUGAAGUGCUUUGAGGUUUAGAGGGAAACGAAGAACAAAGGAAAAUUGUUCAAUUGCUGUAGUGCUAACUGUAAAUACUGGGAAUGGGUUAACGAAUGAGAAUUGAGCAACGGAUCGACUACUAUUGCAAUGAACUCAAAUAAUCAAGCGGCACUUUAAGAAGUCCAGCAGUUCUCUCGUAUGUUCCAGUCCCUUUGUCGGGUAAACGAAGAACAAAAUAUUGAAAUUUCUUUGAACGUGACAAUAAGGAAGGCCAAUGGAAGUGCGGGAGUGGAUAAGAAAUGGAAGGGGCCGGCAUGAUUGGGAACACGAUCUUUUCUUAGGAGGCAUCGGUAACAUUUAGGAUGUGCAAUAUAUGUUGUGUUAUGUAGAGUUGAUGUAUAAUAUGUGUUGUGUUGUGUGAACAAAUCAUUGUAAUGUAGUCGCAUUUCAUGUUUCCGUCGUUAUGUGAAUGAUGUUGAUGUUAAUUUUAGUGGACUGCAGUUUGUUCUCUUCAUUAUGUACCAGCAAUUUUUCUUCAGUCAAUUGGGAGUGAA